UGGAUCAGUGAUCAUAACUGCCAGUGUGUGAGUCUCAGAUAAUGAAUAAUGUGGCUGAGACUCUGGGGUCCAA
ensembl:snoRNA